rnacentral:rRNA from 1 species
CGGAUUGUAGUCUGCAACUCGACUACAUGAAGCCGGAAUCGCUAGUAAUCGCGGAUCAGAAUGCCGCGGUGAAUACGUUCCCGGGUCUUGUACACACCGCCCGUCACACCAUGGGAGCCGGAAAUGCCCGAAGUCAGUGACCCAACCAAUAAGGAGGGAGCUGCCGAAGGCAGGUCUGGUGACUGGGGUGAAGUCGUAACAAGGUAGC